rnacentral:rRNA from 1 species
GAUGAACGCUGGCGGCGUGCCUAAUACAUGCAAGUCGAGCGAACAGAUAAGGAGCUUGCUCCUUUGACGUUAGCGGCGGACGGGUGAGUAACACGUGGGUAACCUACCUAUAAGACUGGGAUAACUUCGGGAAACCGGAGCUAAUACCGGAUAAUAUUUCGAACCGCAUGGUUCGAUAGUGAAAGAUGGUUUUGCUAUCACUUACAGAUGGACCCGCGCCGUAUUAGCUAGUUGGUAAGGUAACGGCUUACCAAGGCGACGAUACGUAGCCGACCUGAGAGGGUGAUCGGCCACACUGGAACUGAGACACGGUCCAGACUCCUACGGGAGGCAGCAGUAGGGAAUCUUCCGCAAUGGGCGAAAGCCUGACGGAGCAACGCCGCGUGAGUGAUGAAGGUCUUCGGAUCGUAAAACUCUGUUAUUAGGGAAGAACAUACGUGUAAGUAACUGUGCACGUCUUGACGGUACCUAAUCAGAAAGCCACGGCUAACUACGUG